AACGAACGCUGGCGGCAGGCUUAACACAUGCAAGUCGAGCGCCCCGCAAGGGGAGCGGCAGACGGGUGAGUAACGCGUGGGAAUCUACCCAUCUCUACGGAAUAACGCAUGGAAACGUGUGCUAAUACCGUAUACAUCCUUCGGGGGAAAGAUUUAACGGAGAUGGAUGAGCCCGCGUUGGAUUAGCUAGUUGGUGGGGUAAAGGCCUACCAAGGCGACGAUCCAUAGCUGGUCUGAGAGGAUGAUCAGCCACACUGGGACUGAGACACGGCCCAGACUCCUACGGGAGGCAGCAGUGGGGAAUAUUGGACAAUGGGCGCAAGCCUGAUCCAGCCAUGCCGCGUGAGUGAUGAAGGCCCUAGGGUUGUAAAGCUCUUUCACCGGUGAAGAUAAUGACGGUAACCGGAGAAGAAGCCCCGGCUAACUUCGUGCCAGCCGCCGCAGUAACAC
rnacentral:rRNA from 1 species